rnacentral:rRNA from 1 species
AAAUUGAAGAGUUUGAUCAUGGCUCAGAUUGAACGCUGGCGGCAGGCCUAACACAUGCAAGUCGAGCGGUAGCACAGAGAGCUUGCUCUCGGGUGACGAGCGGCGGACGGGUGAGUAAUGUCUGGGAAACUGCCUGAUGGAGGGGGAUAACUACUGGAAACGGUAGCUAAUACCGCAUAACGUCGCAAGACCAAAGUGGGGGACCUUCGGGCCUCAUGCCAUCAGAUGUGCCCAGAUGGGAUUAGCUAGUAGGUGGGGUAACGGCUCACCUAGGCGACGAUCCCUAGCUGGUCUGAGAGGAUGACCAGCCACACUGGAACUGAGACACGGUCCAGACUCCUACGGGAGGCAGCAGUGGGGAAUAUUGCACAAUGGGCGCAAGCCUGAUGCAGCCAUGCCGCGUGUGUGAAGAAGGCCUUCGGGUUGUAAAGCACUUUCAGCGGGGNUACGGGAGGCAGCAGUGGGGAAUAUUGCACAAUGGGCGCAAGCCUGAUGCAGCCAUGCCGCGUGUGUGAAGAAGGCCUUCGGGUUGUAAAGCACUUUCAGCGGGGAGGAAGGCGUUAAGGUUAAUAACCUUGGCGAUUGACGUUACCCGCAGAAGAAGCACCGGCUAACUCCGUGCCAGCAGCCGCGGUAAUACGGAGGGUGCAAGCGUUAAUCGGAAUUACUGGGCGUAAAGCGCACGCAGGCGGUCUGUCAAGUCGGAUGUGAAAUCCCCGGGCUCAACCUGGGAACUGCAUUCGAAACUGGCAGGCUAGAGUCUUGUAGAGGGGGGUAGAAUUCCAGGUGUAGCGGUGAAAUGCGUAGAGAUCUGGAGGAAUACCGGUGGCGAAGGCGGCCCCCUGGACAAAGACUGACGCUCAGGUGCGAAAGCGUGGGGAGCAAACAGGAUUAGAUACCCUGGUAGUCCACGCCGUAAACGAUGUCGAUUUGGAGGUUGUGCCCUUGAGGCGUGGCUUCCGGAGCUAACGCGUUAAAUCGACCGCCUGGGGAGUACGGCCGCAAGGUUAAAACUCAAAUGAAUUGACGGGGGCCCGCACAAGCGGUGGAGCAUGUGGUUUAAUUCGAUGCAACGCGAAGAACCUUACCUGGUCUUGACAUCCACAGAACUUAGCAGAGAUGCUUUGGUGCCUUCGGGAACUGUGAGACAGGUGCUGCAUGGCUGUCGUCAGCUCGUGUUGUGAAAUGUUGGGUUAAGUCCCGCAACGAGCGCAACCCUUAUCCUUUGUUNUUGGUGCCUUCGGGAACUGUGAGACAGGUGCUGCAUGGCUGUCGUCAGCUCGUGUUGUGAAAUGUUGGGUUAAGUCCCGCAACGAGCGCAACCCUUAUCCUUUGUUGCCAGCGGUCCGGCCGGGAACUCAAAGGAGACUGCCAGUGAUAAACUGGAGGAAGGUGGGGAUGACGUCAAGUCAUCAUGGCCCUUACGACCAGGGCUACACACGUGCUACAAUGGCAUAUACAAAGAGAAGCGACCUCGCGAGAGCAAGCGGACCUCAUAAAGUAUGUCGUAGUCCGGAUUGGAGUCUGCAACUCGACUCCAUGAAGUCGGAAUCGCUAGUAAUCGUAGAUCAGAAUGCUACGGUGAAUACGUUCCCGGGCCUUGUACACACCGCCCGUCACACCAUGGGAGUGGGUUGCAAAAGAAGUAGGUAGCUUAACCUUCGGGAGGGCGCUUACCACUUUGUGAUUCAUGACUGGGGUGAAGUCGUAACAAGGUAACCGUAGGGGAACCUGCGGUUGGAUCACCUCCUUA